GGCCCGCGUUAGAUUAGUUAGUUGGUGGGGUAAUGGCCUACCAAGACUACGAUCUAUAGCUGGUUUGAGAGGAUGAUCAGCAACACUGGGACUGAGACACGGCCCAGACUCCUACGGGAGGCAGCAGUGGGGAAUCUUAGACAAUGGGGGCAACCCUGAUCUAGCGAUGCCGCGUGAGUGAUGAAGGCCUUAGGGUCGUAAAGCUCUUUCGCCUGUGAUGAUAAUGACAGUAGCAGGUAAAGAAACCCCGGCUAACUCCGUGCCAGCAGCCGCGGUAAUACGGAGGGGGUUAGCGUUGUUCGGAAUUACUGGGCGUAAAGCGCACGUAGGCGGAUUAGUCAGUCAGAGGUGAAAUCCCAGGGCUCAACCCUGGAACUGCCUUUGAUACUGCUAGUCUUGAGUUCGAGAGAGGUAAGUGGAAUUCCGAGUGUAGAGGUGAAAUUCGUAGAUAUUCGGAGGAACACCAGUGGCCGAAGGCGGCUUUACUGGCUUCGAUACUGACGCCGAAGGUGCGAAAAGUGUGGGGGAGCAAAACAGGGAUUAAAAUACCCCUGGGUAGUCCCCCACCCUUAAACAAAUGAAUUGCCAAUUCGUUCGCGAUAACCAUGGCUAUUUCCGGUGAACCCCCC
rnacentral:rRNA from 1 species